rnacentral:lncRNA from 1 species
AUUUACCUCUGUGUUCCCAUUCCCCCUCUACCCACCCCACUGCCAGGGUGCAGGAUGAGGUGGGAUGAUGGAGGGGAAAGAGGGUUGCCUCUGUAGGUGGGGUGGGCACUUCCUUAACCCUUUUGUAGAGAUGCUUGUUUUCCGGGGAUGAUCCCUUAUACUAGGGAGGGAAUGAGUUUCUUACCGGGGGCCUGGAGACGGGCAGGGAUGCUAGGGGACAGGAACAGAGGACCAGAGAGGUGGAGGAAGAUUUCUUGGUGAGGCAGCUUUGUGCUCAGCUGGAGCUGGGCUAGGCUAGGUCUCUCUGUGGUCCUUACUCUACUUGGUGUGGAGCCGCCAAUCCAUCUGAGCUGGGUGGGCAGAAGAUGGGGGAUGUAGAGGGACAUGUCUUCUAAAACACCACCUACACAUCCCUGAGGCUGCCUGCCCCAUUCAGAACAAAAUCACCAUCAAUAACCUUGGACUGGUGCUGUAGGUUAGCCUUGCCUGGGAGGGAAGAUCCGAGCCUCACCCUGAGGGAUUGCCACUAACUGGCUGUGGACAAG